AUUGAACGCUGGCGGCAUGCCUUACACAUGCAAGUCGAACGGUAACGGGCCGUUUGGUGCCGGCGAGUGGCGCGCGGGGGUGUAAUACACCGGAAAGUGCCCGAUCGUGGGGGAUAACGCGGCUGAAGCUUUGCUAAUAUCGCAUACGAUCUACGGAGGAGAACAUGGGGCCGCAAGGGCUUGCGCGGACGGAGCGGCCGAUGGCAGAGUAGGUAGUUGGUGGGGUAAAAGCUUACCAAGACGACGAUCUGUAGCUGGUCUGAGAGGAUGAUCAGCCACACUGGAACUGAGACACGGCCCAGACUCCUACGGGAGGCAGCAGUGGGGAAUUUUGGACAAUGGGCGAAAGCCUGAUCCAGCCAUGCCGCGUGUAGGAUGAAGGCCUUCGGGUUGUAAAGUGCUUUUGUACGGAACGAAAAGCAUUCUUUUAAUACCGGGGGGUCAUGACGGUACCGGAAGAAUAAGCACCGGCUAACUACGUG
rnacentral:rRNA from 1 species